GACGAACGCUGGCGGCGUGCUUAACACAUGCAAGUCGAGCGGAAAGGCCCUGCUUUUGUGGGGUGCUCGAGUGGCGAACGGGUGAGUAACACGUGAGUAACCUGCCCUUGACUUUGGGAUAACUUCAGGAAACUGGGGCUAAUACCGGAUAGGAGCUCCUGCUGCAUGGUGGGGGUUGGAAAGUUUCGGCGGUUGGGGAUGGACUCGCGGCUUAUCAGCUUGUUGGUGGGGUAGUGGCUUACCAAGGCUUUGACGGGUAGCCGGCCUGAGAGGGUGACCGGCCACAUUGGGACUGAGAUACGGCCCAGACUCCUACGGGAGGCAGCAGUGGGGAAUAUUGCACAAUGGGCGGAAGCCUGAUGCAGCAACGCCGCGUGCGGGAUGACGGCCUACGGGUUGUAAACCGCUUUCGCCUGUGACGAAGCGUGAGUGACGGUAAUGGGUAAAGAAGCACCGGCUAACUACGUG
rnacentral:rRNA from 1 species